UAGGGAAUCUUCCACAAUGGGCGAAAGCCUGAUGGAGCAACGCCGCGUGAGUGAAGAAGGGUUUCGGCUACGUAAAACUCUGUUGUUAAAGAAGAACAUAUCUGAGAGUAACUGUUCAGGUAUUGACGGUAUUUAACCAGAAAGCCACGGCUAACUACGUGGCAG
rnacentral:rRNA from 1 species